GAGGCGCGCGGGGCCCGCGGUACUGUUUCCGCCGUUCCCCUCUUCCCGGCCGGUCAUGUCGCUGCUGCGCGGGCCGCGGCCCCGCGGCGCCGGCAGGAAGGGCCCCAGGAGGUCGGCGGUGGUUAAGCGGGACUGGGACAGUACCGUCCAUGAUUUGACAGUCCACCGUGCAACUCCCGAGGAUGUACUGCGUCGCCAUGAAAUACACAAGUCAAAAAACAAAGCCGUGGCGCAUCUGGAACUGCAAGAGAAAGCACUGAAAAGAAAAUGGAAGAAGCAAAAACAACUCGCUGAUGAUUCCUUGGAGAAAAGGAAAUUGACUCUGAUGCGUGAGAUUCUGUCUGAUCAGUACCAUUUGCAAGAUGUAUUGGAACGAUCUGGUCAGGUUAUGGCUGUGGCAAAAGACUCGUUUGGGGGUGCUCCUCGCACGCGAACAGGUUUCCCUAAUGUAACAAUGGCUCCUAACUGUGACCUAGAAUCAGCUCAAGGGCCCAUUGUACAAAAAUGUGAUCCUCCCGCUCAGCUUUCCAUCCUUAGUGAAUCUGUCAUGAAUUCCCAGGGUCUUAAUGAAGUGGAAGAGGAAGCAUUACCAAUCUAUCAAUCAGAAGAUGGACACUAUGACCCUCUGAAUUUCAAAACCAACAUCAAUUCUGACAGACUACUUCGAUUAUUGAGAGAAGAAAAUUCCCUGGCGAAUUCUCCCUUGUGGGUUGAAAAGGAUAUGAGAAAAACUACCUUAUCACAGGAAGCAAAUGUGCCUUUGACUCCAACAACUGUUUCUCCAUCAUUGGAUCAAUCAGCCCUCAAUGCUACCAGUGUCGUCAAGAGACUCCAUUCAAGGCUUCAGACUGAAGACAAAGAAGAGACUCUAGACUCCACUUACACUGUGAGACAAGUGCUGAACCCGAACUCAAGGAAACAAAAACAAAUUGCAGCAAAAAUGAAAAGAAAACAAACUGCACAGAACUCUGCAAGACAGAGGAGAGAUGAUUCUCCAGCUAAUGCAAUCCCCAUUGACCUUCAGAGGGCCAACGCAUCCAGCCUAGAUGUUCUCAACCGCAUGAUACAUGAAGUGGAGCAUGAACUGGAGGAAUAUGAGCGAUGUACGGGUCGUGAGGUUCAAAAAAGUGAGAGAAGUGAAGGCCUCACUGGGUUUACCUUGUCACUGGUGAACGCUCUAUGUCGUUUGAUGCGCUACCUCAAAGAGAGUGAAAUGCAACUGCGUGAGAAAGAGGUGAUAAGACAGCAGCAUGAGGAGAUGUUGAAUGAACACAGAGAACUGAUUGAUGCUUUGACUGCAGAAAUACUGCUAGUGAGGGAAGAAAACACUGCUAUACAGAAUAAGCUCCAGCAAUACAUGACAGUAACAGAUGAACAGCUGACCUCUCUCACACGAGCAUUCAAAGACCUCCCUUUGGUAGAACCUAGAAGAGAACAAAGUCCAAACCAUUUUGGAAUUGCAAGCAGUGGUGCAGUGAAUGGCCAAGAAAAAAAUGAUUUGAGCUAUUUGGAGCCUCGGGCUGAUGCAGGCAACAGGGAAAGUAUGCUGAAAUUCCCACAGGAAGAACUUCCUUUCAAGUAUCUCCAGAGGUCGGGUGCUUCAGGUAGUGCGGGACCUGGCAGAAGCUUGCCAGCUCACGUCUUCCAGCCAGCUGUGCUGUUGUCACCCCCCCGGCAGAAGAGCAGUAAGGAAUUGUCUCCCCCCCAGAACGGGUCUACAGCCAUUUCUCAGUCUCCUGAAAACACUGAAAUAGAACUGUGCAAGGAGAGGAGCUCACCUUCUUCCCUGAGAACACAAAGCUCAACUGAGGAAAACUGUCUCAUCUCUCGAAGGCAACCAAGUCCUCCUGAAGACAAAGACUUGGAAAGUUCCCACAAGAAAAUUAGUCUGUCUUGCCCAGGUGACACUAGGAAAACCAGCACAACUGAAGAGUUAUUUCAAAACGGUGAUCUGCUGGGACAGAUAGCUGAGCUCACACGGCAGAACUCUCUCAUUAAAGCUCAACUGAGCAAAUUCAGAGGCUUCUCUGAAGACACAAGGGACUGCCUGCAUCAGCCAGGUUCAAUACCAAAUGCAAAUUCUAGUCCAGACUCUUCACAAGGACAGACUCAUCUUGUAGCCUCAAAGAGCUUGGAGGAAAGAAUAGCAGAGCUGAACCGUCAGAGCACAGAAGCACGUGAUAAACUGUUGCAGCUCAUAGAGCAGCAGAAGUCAGUUGCUGCCAAAAUGGUCCCUCCGAUGGUAUCUCCUGUUCUACCCCCAUCCCUAACUCAUACUGAAAAUGCAAGGAAGACAAUUGAAGUGUCUAUUCCUGUGGCAGAUGGUAUGGACAGCUCCAAAGACGACAGUGUUUCCCCUGCCAGUAUGACCAGUAUAAGAAGGUCUGCAGGUGACUCUAGCAAACCUUGUUCACCCCUAAGUACCACGUCAGAAAGUGUGAAAUUAACUCCUGUCAGCCAAAGGCCAAAGGUGGAAAAGCAAAAAGAAGAAGGCUGGUUUGCACUGUCAAUGCACAUUAUGUAAAGGAAGCUGCACUCAAGUCCUUUUUUUUUUUUUAAUUAUUUUUUUUUUAAUGAACUACAAUUAAAUCACAAUAGUCACCCUCUCCAGAUGUAUAGUAUAACUCUAAAGUGCUUUCAUGUCAGUGCCAUUAGUACAAAAAGGUCCAUAUGCUUUGUGCCAUACAAAGCACUAUAGGAAGUCCAGGGAAUGAGAUUCUCAACUGGAUACGCUGCUGUGACAUCAUCCCAUUUCACUGAAUAAAUCUUUCACAAGAUUGUAAACCGAAGCUGCUGUAGCAAUAGAAAGGAGCAUCUGAUAUCUGUGGUAGAUAUGCUGAAGACAGGAGGUUUUAGAAAAUGCAUGCGAAACUUUUUGGGGCAUGUAUUUGCACAAGAUAAGAGAAUGAAAAAAAAAAAUCAAGAAAAACUGCGAGAGGGAAAUGUACCUAUGUUCCAAAGCAAACUGGAGAUCAGGAAGCCAGUCUGUGCCUGCCGGAUAAGAAUUUGCAUCAGAAAUAAUUUUUUCCUUCUGUGGCUUACAGUUGCUCCCAAAAGUUGUGUUUUCUGUGCAGUCAACAUACUGGGGAUUGCAUCUGGACUCGAGGAUUGCUUUUUAAAAAUUCCAUUGAAUAUUUUUAUACCAAAUAUAAAGUGUCUCUUUGAAAUUGAAAUCAGAAUCUAUUUGUUGUGUAGGAAAGUAUGCUCUCUUUGAUACAAUCGAGAACUGUGAUAUGAGUACAGCUGUAUUAAGCUGGUUUGUUAUGCGUAUAUAUAAUAGUCUAAUGAUCAUGUUUUUAUAUUGUUUUUAUUUGACUUUUUAAACUAGCCAUCAUGUUAUUAUUAAUGAUUAACAGCAAAAUCUAGGACUCUGAGGAAAUGCUUAUAUAUCUGUUCCUUACAUUGUAGUAAACCUGGACAAAAGCCUUUAUAAUGGAAAUAAAAAAUAGAAAACAA